AGCAUUACAGAAGAUUGGCUGGGACGAGUGGGCAAAGACCCUGAGAAAAUGCCAGUAGAAGAAAGAGAAGUGAUUCUGCUCAAGGUCAUUGUAAAAGUAUGAAAAAAAAUUACAUUACUGAGAAACAAGGGCCUGGAACUUACUAAAUAUGCUAUGCUGACUGGCCAGCAUGCUCCAGGGAUCUGCCUAUCUCCUCCUCUCCAGUCCUGGGAUUCUAAGCACACUACAAAAUGUGGGUUCUGGGGGUCGAACUCAGGUCCUCUUGUACAGCAAACACUUCACUGACUGAGUCGUGUCCUCCGCUCUGGAGUCAUAACUACAUCGUGUCAGUACUUGGAUUUGGAGACCCCUUGGAUUUGCCUCUGCCAUCUCUUAAGGCAACAGUGGUGUUCAAGUUUGCUUCUUUUUCAAACUUGUUUUGAAAUGGCUUCUUUCAUAAGAGGACUUCACUUUUCAUGGUUACCAACAUUCUCGUAACUACUGUGACAAUAUUAGUGCCUAAUUAACCAUUAUGAAACAUUAACUAAUUCGGUGCUUGGUUACAUGGCAAACCAAAUGCCAUGCAACUGUAUGAAGUAAAAGCCUUCCUCACCUUCCUAUCAUAGAGAAUGGACUUUUAUAUGCAUUCUGUUACAGAACUGUGACCAGAAGAAAGAUAUUUGUAAGAUGGUGUGACAUGGGCCUUAAGUUGCUCGUAGAGAAUUUUGUUCGGCACAUUGCUUUGAAGAAAUCAAACAGGAUUUCUUGCAACUAACAAGAAAGAAUUAGAAAUAUAUGAGAAACUUUUGAGAAAAAAAAUCUGUAUCAAUUCAUUCUUUGUAGCAAAGAAGAAAAGCUGAUUCCACAGCUUCAGAGUCCUCUGUUAACUACCUGGGCUACUUAGAAGGCCCCAGAAUCAAGACUCUAAGACGGCUACAGACGUGGCUGCGUUUUAAAAUCUGAUGAAAAUAGAGACUUUCAGAAGCAAAAGCUCUCCUAUACCUACAUCCUAAAAGAGGAAGCACCUCCUCAAGGUUAUAAGGAGGGCAAUGAUUGACAGUGUGGAUGACUGACAGAGAGAGCUAGCCCUGCUCGUUAUCUGUGCUAGUGUUCUGGUCACAUGGGUCUAUAGUGCUUUUGUGUCUUCCCUAACCCUGUCUGUCCCAUUUGCUUUGUAAUUUUCAGAUGAAUUUUUAUUUUACAUGAGUAUUUCAGGAAUAUAUGUGACAUUAGAGUAUUUAUAUCACGUUAAUAUGUACAUGUAUUAAUCCCCAAUAGGAUUGGGAGCCAUGUAAAAAUCAUGUACAUGACAACAUGAGGACACAGAAACAUGGAUAUUAAAGUUGAGGGGCAGGACUAAGAAAGACACAAAUCAGUGCUGGAAAGCUGUCUUGGUAAAUAUACCUAUCUGGACCUUAUAUGAAAUGAGGCAAAUCUCAUUAAAAAAUGGCUUGUUAGUA